GGAACACACUAUUGUAACUCUCCCUUGGGAACGUAACGCUUGCAACCAUAACUGUUUCAGGUAACGAGUAGCUGGACGUGAUGGCUUCUCUCCGUUUCAUCGCUGCGUCUUUGUUUAUGAUCAUCUCCCUGAUCGCCAUAAGCGAGGCUCUAGUCUUGUGUCCGCAAUUCCCGUCAUGCUGUAAAUACAGAGGACCCAGUGGGCACGACUCGUGCCACAUGCUUUGCCCUUCGUGCAAGGAAGCUGCUUACUUCACAAACGGCGUCCGGAAUUUCCCGACUCGGCGUUCCAGCAGCAGCAUCUUCUUCUUCUGAUGAGGCGCACGCAGUACAGCAGAGCCCAUUGCUUCCUUGAUUUUUUUACGCGCUAUUUCGGGAGGCUGAGGGUUGAUCCCAUUUCCUGAAUUUCGCGCAGUCCUUCAGUCAGCUGAUCUUUGGAGACAUACCGGUUAUCUCUGAAGCAUCAUUUCGCUGAUGGAUGUCACGUGCCAAAGCAAAGAAAGCGAUGAAUGAGAGUUAUAAUAUCGUCCCAGCCGAAGAGGCAGAAGAGUCUGCUAAAGACUGUCUGCUUACUCAAGCCUCAACGUGGAUCGAAAGAAUCGUUCUUACGUCUACUAUGGUUGGCCCAGAGGCAUAGCAGAUUUUCAGUUAUGUGCAAAGUCCAGUAAAAGUUAUGUUUCCUAGAAAGCGACCUCUAGGCUUCAGCUAACGAAAUACGCUGCCUAAUGUCUAGUGUUUGCUACAGAUCCGAGAGAAAAAUAUUUUGAUAUUGUUUCUCGGUUGGUAGAUUGUUCCCAAACAUGCCCUGUGUGAACAGUGUUAAUGCUCAAAUCAGCCAAAGAGUGUGUUUGUAAUGAGCAUGAUUUAUAUUAGUGUGUUUUCCGAUAUUUAAAUAUUUAUCGCUGCAAGUUCGCUUUCAAUUAUAUGACUGCAAAGAACUUGGCGGAAGAUUUCUGUAAAUCAUUCUGUUAUAUAAAAUGGUUUACAAUUAUAUUUCCAUAUAAAUAUA